rnacentral:rRNA from 1 species
AGAGUUUGAUUCUGGCUCAGAUUGAACGCUGGCGGCGUGCCUAACACAUGCAAGUCGAACGUGAAAGUUCCUUCGGGAGCGAGUAAAGUGGCGCACGGGUGAGUAACACGUGGAUAAUCUACCGGGAAGUUGGGGAUAACGACUGGAAACGGUCGCUAAUACCGAAUACGCUGUUCUAUUUGUUUAGGACAGGAAAGGAGGCCUCUGCAUAUGCUUCCGCUUUUCGAUGAGUCCGCGUCCCAUUAGCUGGUUGGCGGGGUAAAGGCCCACCAAGGCGACGAUGGGUAGCUGGUCUGAGAGGAUGAUCAGCCACACUGGGACUGGAACACGGCCCAGACUCCUACGGGAGGCAGCAGUGGGGAAUAUUGCGCAAUGGGCGAAAGCCUGACGCAGCGACGCCGCGUGAGGGAUGAAGGUCCUCGGAUCGUAAACCUCUGUCAGAAGGGAAGAAGUUGCACUGUGCUAAUCAGCGGUGCAUUGACGGUACCUUCAAAGGAAGCACCGGCUAACUCCGUGCCAGCAGCCGCGGUAAUACGGAGGGUGCGAGCGUUAAUCGGAAUUACUGGGCGUAAAGCGCGCGUAGGCUGUAUAUCAAGUCAAGGGUGAAAUCCCCGGGCUCAACCUGGGAACUGCCUUUGAAACUGGUAAACUGGAGUAUGUGAGAGGGUGGCGGAAUUCCUGGUGUAGGAGUGAAAUCCGUAGAUAUCAGGAGGAACAUCAGUGGCGAAGGCGGCCACCUGGCACAAAACUGACGCUGAGGUGCGAAAGCGUGGGUAGCAAACAGGAUUAGAUACCCUGGUAGUCCACGCUGUAAACGAUGGAUACUGGGUGUUGGGAUGUAUGUCUCGGCGCCGUAGCUAACGCGUUAAGUAUCCCGCCUGGGGAGUACGGUCGCAAGGCUGAAACUCAAAGAAAUUGACGGGGGCCCGCACAAGCGGUGGAGUAUGU